rnacentral:rRNA from 1 species
GGGACACGUGGUAUCCUGUCUGAAUAUGGGGGGACCAUCCUCCAAGGCUAAAUACUCCUGACUGACCGAUAGUGAACCAGUACCGUGAGGGAAAGGCGAAAAGAACCCCGGCGAGGGGAGUGAAAAAGAACCUGAAACCGUGUACGUACAAGCAGUGGGAGCACGCUUAGGCGUGUGACUGCGUACCUUUUGUAUAAUGGGUCAGCGACUUAUAUUCUGUAGCAAGGUUAACCGAAUAGGGGAGCCGAAGGGAAACCGAGUCUUAACUGGGCGUUAAGUUGCAGGGUAUAGACCCGAAACCCGGUGAUCUAGCCAUGGGCAGGUUGAAGGUUGGGUAACACUAACUGGAGGACCGAACCGACUAAUGUUGAAAAAUUAGCGGAUGACUUGUGGCUGGGGGUGAAAGGCCAAUCAAACCGGGAGAUAGCUGGUUCUCCCCGAAAGCUAUUUAGGUAGCGCCUCGUGAAUUCAUCUCCGGGGGUAGAGCACUGUUUCGGCAAGGGGGUCAUCCCGACUUACCAACCCGAUGCAAACUGCGAAUACCGGAGAAUGUUAUCACGGGAGACACACGGCGGGUGCUAACGUCCGUCGUGAAGAGGGAAACAACCCAGACCGCCAGCUAAGGUCCCAAAGUCAUGGUUAAGUGGGAAACGAUGUGGGAAGGCCCAGACAGCCAGGAUGUUGGCUUAGAAGCAGCCAUCAUUUAAAGAAAGCGUAAUAGCUCACUGGUCGAGUCGGCCUGCGCGGAAGAUGUAACGGGGCUAAACCAUGCACCGAAGCUGCGGCAGCGACACUAUGUGUUGUUGGGUAGGGGAGCGUUCUGUAAGCCUGUGAAGGUGUACUGUGAGGUAUGCUGGAGGUAUCAGAAGUGCGAAUGCUGACAUAAGUAACGAUAAAGCGGGUGA